GCCCCAGACUCCUACGGGAGGCAGCGGUGGGGAAUCUUAGACAAUGGGGGCAACCCUGAUCUAGCCAUGCCGCGUGAGUGAUGAAGGCCUUAGGGUCGUAAAGCUCUUUCGCCUGUGAUGAUAAUGACAGUAGCAGGUAAAGAAACCCCGGCUAACUCCGUGCCAGCAGCCGCGGUAAUACGGAGGGGGUUAGCGUUGUUCGGAAUUACUGGGCGUAAAGCGCGCGUAGGCGGAUUAGAAAGUUGGGGGUGAAAUCCCGGGGCUCAACCUCGGAACUGCCUCCAAAACUGCUAGUCUAGAGUUCGAGAGAGGUGAGUGGAAUUCCGAGUGUAGAGGUGAAAUUCGUAGAUAUUCGGAGGAACACCAGUGGCGAAGGCGGCUCACUGGCUCGAUACUGACGCUGAGGUGCGAAGGUGUGGGGAGCAAACAGGAUUAAAUACCCUGGUAGUCCACACCGUAAACGAUGAAUGCCAGUCGUCGGGUAGUAUACUAUUCGGUGACACACCUAACGGAUUAAGCAUUCCGCCUGGGGAGUACGGUCCCAAGAUUAAAACUCAAAGGAAUUGACGGGGGCCCGCACAAGCGGUGGAGCAUGUGGUUUAAUU
rnacentral:rRNA from 1 species